rnacentral:rRNA from 1 species
CCCUUAGAUGUUCUGAGAUGCACGCGCGUUACACUGAUUCGUUCAACGAGUUUAUGACCUUGCCUGAUGAGGUGGGGGAAUCUUUUCAAAUCGCAUCGUGAUGGGGAUAGAGUAUUGUAACUGUUAGUCUUCAACGAGGAAUUCCUAGUAAGUACGUGUCAUCAGCUCGUACUGAUUAUGUCCCUGCCCUUUGUACACACCGCCCGUCGCUCCUACCGAUUGAGUGCUCAGGUGAAUAGUAUGGACUGCAUCAGUGUUCGGUCUCCGAAUGUUGACGCGAGAAAUUCUGUGAAUCUUAUUGCUUAGAGGAAGGAGAANUCGUANCA